AACGAACGCUGGCGGCAGGCCUAACACAUGCAAGUCGAACGCUCCGCAAGGGAGUGGCGCACGGGUGAGUAACACGUGGGAACCUACCUUCUGGUACGGAACAACCAAGGGAAACUUUGGCUAAGACCGUAUACGACCUCCGGGUGAAAGAUUGAUCGCCGGAAGAGGGGCCCGCGUCCGAUUAGGUAGUUGGUGAGGUAACGGCUCACCAAGCCUUCGAUCGGUAGCUGGUCUGAGAGGAUGACCAGCCACACUGGGACUGAGACACGGCCCAGACUCCUACGGGAGGCAGCAGUGGGGAAUAUUGCGCAAUGGGCGGAAGCCUGACGCAGCGACGCCGCGU
rnacentral:rRNA from 1 species